GGGACACCGCCGCGCUGCCCGCUGGGAGUUGUAGUUUUUUUUCUCUCUUUAAGCGGCCAUUCCUGUCAGAGUUGAAUCCCUUCGAGAGGAAGAAGGAAAGAUACGAAUUUCUGCACCUGACCAAUGAGAAAUAUAGAGAGAAGGGCUGAGAGAAAGAGUUAAAUUGGCAAGUAACUAAGAGACCCAUCAGGAGAUCGAGAGUCGUUGGAGCAGCAGUUUGAGAGUCAGGGUGCCAAGGGUUAUCAACACAGGUGUCGAGACAGACAGCAGUAAUGACACUUUCCACUGCAGAGAUCUGAUGAGAGCGAAGAGGCACUGAAAGAUGCAAAUACAGUGAGAAGAAAAAGUUUGCUCAAACGAAGGAGGCCCAGGACUGUCACCUUGUGGCCAUCAUGAGCGAGAUGAUGGCGGAAAGGGACAAUGAGGACCAAAUGACUGAAAAGCUGACACCAGCUUCGGAGCUCCAGAAGCAAGUGGAAGAAGCGAGUCCCUCAGGAUCGCAGGAGGUGGUUGAGGACAACACCCCCCCCCCCCCCAAUACCCAGUCAUAGCUUCGAAAGAGGGACAAGAAGAUCUCAAAGCUGUGACAGAAAGUUGAGAGCCUGAUGGAGGAGGGGACAGCUCUGCGGCAGAAGUUGGAGCUGCUUGAGGCUCAGUAUAUAAAACUUGAAAAUGCACUCUCAGAAUUGGUAAGCAUCAACUGCAGGAGCCCCAACAACAUCGGAGCAAAAUCAACCCCAAAUGCUUCCAAUCCUUUGAGGAACAGCCAGCAAACUGUACAUCCCAAUAGAGGGCAAGGUACAAUUGUUCGUUGGGGUCGAGAUCCCAGAGCAACUAUGGAAUUCUGUCCACAGCAAGAGGACAAAUUCUUUAUUUGUUAAGUCCCUGGCUGUUGGCAUCUGGGACUCUGAGAUGCCCUGGGAGAGGUCGAUCUGCGGGAGAACGUGCCCAUGCUUCGUGAACAAUGGGGCUGCUGCAGAGCCAACACUUGCGCCAAUAAAGUUGAAUGCUGUCAACGGUAUCCGCUUAAAUGCAAAUCUUAAUACGAAUUGUUGUUUGGAGGAACAACACCUCAUCUUCUGACUAGGCACUUUACAGCCUUCCGCACUGAAUAUUGAAUUCAACAACUUUAGGUCUUGAGCUCCCUCCUCCAUCCCCACCCCCUUUCU